GGAAACUUUGGAACUAAUUUGAAAAAAUAACGAAUCUCAGAGCAAAUAAAGGGUCUAAGUCAGAGGUGUCCAUAUUAUUAGACCCUUUAUUUUUGUACAUUAGUUCCGAAGUCUCCGCUACGAGCCGCUACUGUUUUUGUCGAGGAAUCGAGCACAUAGUACGACUCAAUAAUAAGUCGGACGUACUUUUUAUUUUUGAGUUUUACAACUUAAAGCGAAUUCGGUUCUCUUAUUUCCAAGUAGCUCAACGCAAAUUAGUCUUCUAUUUUCAACUAUCGAGUCUGAAGAUCUUAUUUUCUGGUAGUGUGGCAACUUUAGGUUUUAGGAAGAGCAGUUAAGAGGAAUAAAUUUAUUAUUGCAUAUGGUCCAAAGGUGGCCGCCAUAUUUGUUGUGGCUCGCAAUAUAUGUAAAUGCAUCAGUGGACGUUAUAACCGAAUUACACUUUGCACACACGAUAUAAUUUUAUAAGCAAAUUACGUGCUGUUAUAUGGAGUGUCAAGAACUGAUGUGCUGUCAAGAUUAUUGUGUUAUUGUAAAUGCUAAACAUUUUUUAUAAUUAUUUGAAUAUUAAAACAAAUAUGCCUUUGAGUGUAUUUAUUUCUGUUUUAUACAUAUAUAUAUGUAUAUACAUAUGAGUACAUAUAUAUAACUAACAGUACUUACAUUCACAAUGUCAAGUUUAUAUCAGCAUUUCAUUCAUAUUCCUAUAAGAAAUUGUAUUAUCUGCGCACGAGCUAUGUCGAGCCAUUAUGCAAAAAUUCCAAAGCAUCCAACAGCAGGGAUAAUUGUUAUCGGAGAUGAAAUACUGAAAGCCCAAGUGAGAGACACAAAUUCUUAUUACAUGUGUAGUCUACUGUAUAAAUGUGGCAUUAAAGUAAAAAAGAUCUCUGUAAUCAGCGACAGUGUUGAAGAAAUCUCAAAAGAGAUUAGGGAUGCCUCUAGUAAAUUCACUUAUGUCUUAACAUCCGGUGGAAUUGGUCCAACCCACGAUGAUGUUACAUUCGAAGGCCUUGCUAAAGCUUUCGAUGAUACACUGCAUUACCAUCCGAAAUUGGUGGAUAUAAUAAAAAAUCAGUUUGGUGCCAAAGAUUCUUUGUCUCCUGCUUAUAAGAUGGCUCUGAUCCCAAAGAAAGCGUCUCUUAAAUUUAAUUUAAACGUGCGUACAGGCAAACCAAACGCGUAUCCGUACAUUGUACUAGAGAAUGUAUACGUUUUCCCUGGUUCGCCUGUAUUCUUUGAAAGAUCCUUUCGAGGUUUAUACGAGGAUUUACUUUCCACAACGAAGAAGAGAUUUGUAAAAGAUGAGGUAUUCAUAAAUGCCAGGGAGGAGGCGUUUACGAAUGCCUUAUCAAUGGUAGUAAAAGAAUUCCCCAAUGUUUCCUUUGGUUCCUAUCCAGUGAGCAAUUGCAGGUACUAUAAAGCGUUCGUAACUAUAGAGAGCGAUAACGAGAGCGACACCGGGAGUGCGAAACGGCGAUUUUGCGAGCUCAAUCCCGCCGAUAUUUUCGUAAAAUUUGAUCGUACACCGCACGUAGAUUGCGUCAUGAAGUACGAUAAUUUUCUUCAGAGCUGUCCGCAUCGUCGAUCGAUCUACGAACAAUUGCUGGAAGAGCUUAGACUGUUUUAUCGGGAUCCUGAAAGCGUCUCAAUACGUAUGGACGGCGGCGUAGAAUCGAGCAUCGUCAUUCACCUCGCUCAUAUAUGUAGAGCCCGGUCUAAUACGAACGACAAGUUGCGAGCGGUCUACUUUAAGGAGAAACGGACGCCGAUCGAUCUCGAGGAAUACAUCAAGGAGAUGACUGACAAAUAUAAUCUGGCGGUAUGCACCGUGGAGGCCGAUAAAAGCAUAAACGAAUUAAUAUCCAUGCAAGCGCAUUUGCGAACACUGCUAGUCGGGAAGGCCGGGGAGGACGGCGUGAAUGAAGUUAACCGUGGCUAUGCCGGCGCGAGUAACGCCGACCGAUUGCAAAUCAAUAAUCCUUUGCGUAACUGGACAAACGAGGACGUAUGGUCUUUCGCCUCGUCGUUGAGCCUGCCGUAUGUGACGACGACGACUUGAAAGGAAACCAGGCAUCGGUCGACGAGAACGACGACGACGACGCAGUCGGCGAAAUUUACUUAAGUCGCGAAAUUGCUAAUUUCUCGAUCGGGAUCGCCCUCGGGUUUCGCGACACGGGAUGGGAGCGUGACGUUCAUGCGUGGGUGCGUGCUCGUGCAUACGUGCACGCGCGAGCCCCGCCGUGCGUUUUGCGAGAGAACAGAAAGACCGUGGUGUACUGGAGAUGGAACGAAACGAAACGAACGUAUAUUUCCAGAACAAAUAUUUACGCGAAAGAGGUAUAAAAAGAGCGAAAAUGUGUUUUCUGUUUGAUUUGCGACUGUAUUUUUCUUUCCGGUCCAACGGCCCUCUCCUCCACCUCCGCCCCCCUGCUG